rnacentral:tRNA from 1 species
UAGGGCGUCGUCUAACGGUAGGACACGGGACUUUGGAUCCCGUUGUGGAGGUUCGAAUCCUCCCGCCCUAGCUA